CCUUGGUACGAGGAGGCUCUGGUAUGAAAAAGAAUGCUCACUUUGCCAACAGGCGCCUCAGAAUUGUUGUUCAAUCGCCAUGGCAACACAUAGUUCAACAAAAAUUGUACUAAGAGUAAUAAUGAAUAAAUUCAAACAUUCCACCUUUUACCCAUUCCAUAAAACCAGUGAACUUUGGGACAAUCUU